rnacentral:rRNA from 1 species
GCUACAGGCUUAACACAUGCAAGUCGAGGGGCAGCAUGGUCUUAGCUUGCUAAGACUGAUGGCGACCGGCGCACGGGUGAGUAACACGUAUCCAACCUGCCGUCUACUCUUGGACAGCCUUCUGAAAGGAAGAUUAAUACAAGAUGGCAUCAUGAGUCCGCAUGUUCACAUGAUUAAAGGUAUUCCGGUAGACGAUGGGGAUGCGUUCCAUUAGAUAGUAGGCGGGGUAACGGCCCACCUAGUCUUCGAUGGAUAGGGGUUCUGAGAGGAAGGUCCCCCACAUUGGAACUGAGACACGGUCCAAACUCCUACGGGAGGCAGCAGUGAGGAAUAUUGGUCAAUGGGCGAGAGCCUGAACCAGCCAAGUAGCGUGAAGGAUGACUGCCCUAUGGGUUGUAAACUUCUUUUAUAAAGGAAUAAAGUCGGGUAUGGAUACCCGUUUGCAUGUACUUUAUGAAUAAGGAUCGGCUAACUCCGUGCCAGCAGCCGCGGUAAUACGGAGGAUCCGAGCGUUAUCCGGAUUUAUUGGGUUUAAAGGGAGCGUAGAUGGAUGUUUAAGUCAGUUGUGAAAGUUUGCGGCUCAACCGUAAAAUUGCAGUUGAUACUGGAUAUCUUGAGUGCAGUUGAGGCAGGCGGAAUUCGUGGUGUAGCGGUGAAAUGCUUAGAUAUCACGAAGAACUCCGAUUGCGAAGGCAGCCUGCUAAGCUGCAACUGACAUUGAG